UCCAAAGUGAACAAAAUGUGAAACUAUCAAAUGAAAUAAAACCUGGUGGGUAUUUGUAGUCCAGGAAGGCUGAACAAGGUGCAUCAAUCAUCACAACUGUCAUAGGGACGAUUACAGAGACAAUGCAGCUAUUUGAAUCUGAAACUCAAAUUAGAAGAUCUAGAAGGGGAGGGAAUGUGGGAGAAGACAUGAAUAAAGCAAUGUGAUGAAUUCA